UACGUAGGGUGCAAGCGUUGUCCGGAAUUAUUGGGCGUAAAGAGCUCGUAGGUGGCCUGUCGCGUCGGCUGUGAAAACUCGGGGCUCAACUCCGAGCUUGCAGUCGAUACGGGCAGGCUAGAGUUCGGCAGGGGAGACUGGAAUUCCUGGUGUAGCGGUGAAAUGCGCAGAUAUCAGGAGGAGCACCGGUGGCGAAGGCGGGUCUCUGGGCCGAUACUGACGCUGAGGAGCGAAAGCGUGGGGAGCGAACAGG
rnacentral:rRNA from 1 species